rnacentral:misc_RNA from 1 species
GAAAAUUUUCACCUUUAACAACCGUGUUAGUGCAAGGAUUAUGAGACACAUUCAAUGCUUGACUUUGAACUGCAAAAGUGGAUGCUCACUUCUCUCUAAACCUAAUUCUCUCCCUGUCCUCUAAAACUUCAAAAACUCGAUCUUUAGUUUCUCAGUUUUAAGGGAGGUCCGGCCUUUUAGCCGUCGAGCCUCCCCCUCUAUCUCUUUUCUUUAGUUUUUUUUAGCUUGUAUUUUUGUUGUAGUGCUGUUACCAGAUCCGAAGUUUAGUUUCCCUCCUUGGAUGGAGUUUGUUGUUCUAUUUCUUUGUUUUGUAU